rnacentral:lncRNA from 1 species
GUAUUUCAAGCAGGGAAAACGGAAGAGGGCUGACUGGUUUACUCUGGAGAUUUUCCUUAGUCUGGACCAAACCUUCCCAUUAUUGGACACAGAUGGUCAGCUAGUAAUCAAUCAUCUAUAAUUAUGCUUUGGAAAAACCUCAUGAGCAAAGACCCUCGACUUGUAGUCAAAGCUACAAUUUAUGUCAAGCAGCUCCAUUAGAUGUCUCAUUUCCCAGCCAUCAGGAGGAGGAAAGAGGGAAUGAAGAACAAGCUUCUUCCUGUGGGUGUGACCCAGAGGUUGUUCGUGUCACUUCUAUUCACAUUUGCUUGUGUAGAACUUACACAAUCAUACUUAACUUCAAGAAAGAUUGGGCAACAUAGUUUAUAGCGGGGAGGAUUUAUGCCCUGAAAUUGAUGGUGUCAUCUUUUCAUCUUCCCUCUCUCACCAUUAGCAUGUAAUCUGUAACUGAAUUUGAACAAUCCAACUUCCAAAUGAUUUCCAUUUUUCUCCAUAUUCCUAACAACACUUUAGUCUAAAGCGUCCUCAUCCUUGCCUAGUUUACUACAAUAACCUAAUUGGUCAGCGUGCUUCCAUUCUUGCCCCACCAAGUCAUUUCUGACACCGUGGCCGCUAAUUCUUAAGAAUAGAAACCAAAUCAUCACUCUUCUUUAAGGCCUUUAGUGUCUAUUUCCAUAGAAUAAAAUCCAUACCCUGCACCAUGAGCCGUAAGACCUGGCAAUGACCUGGCUCUAGUGUACCCAGUGCUAUCCUUGCACCAUGCUUUCCACCAGUCACUAUGUUCUGGCUUCUCUGGCCUCCACCUUUUUCUAGAACACAUUGAUCCUUUCCCCACCUCAGGCCCUUAUCCCUGCUAUUCUUCAUCCUGUAAAACUUUUGCUGGGAUCUCCGCGUGGCUGGCUCGCCCUCAUCUCUUGGCACUCAGCACAAAUGUCAUCUAUUUUGAGAAUCUUUCCUGACUGCCCUUUGUAAAGCAGCAUGUCUUGUUCCCAGUGACUCUUUAUUGCAUUACUUUAUUUAUUUUCUUCAUAGCAUUUAUUAAAUUAUAUAAUAAUCC